UUUGUAAUGGCAGAAUAGUGCAUUAGACUUAAGCCCUAAAUAUGAAAUUCAUUUUCUUACAAAA
rnacentral:tRNA from 1 species